rnacentral:piRNA from 1 species
UUUGAGAGGGCCUGGAUUAAACUGC